UAGGGUGGAGGGCGGAAUGGGUAGGCGGCUGGCGCGCUCUCGACCAGGGGGUGGCGCGCACAGGAGGUGGCAGGCUCUGCUCUGGUGCGUCAGAGCCUGCAGUGAGCCCGGCAGUGAGGCGAAACGUUGGGCUCCGCGCGGGAGUCUCGUGGCCGCCCGUUUCUCUCGAGAGUCGGGGUGCCUUUUCCCACGAACCAUAAUUUACGCACGACGCCACGAUACCCCCUGCCACCACCACCACCACCAUCACCCUUCCCCCAUCCCGUUUCCUAUUCGCCCGAGUCCACUUUCGCCAGCAUCCCUCAUCAGUUCGUCGUAUCGGGAAAUUUCACGCACUUUCGGCUAAUUUGUGGUAAAAAGCGCGCCGGCACGCACGCACGACUUUCGGUAGGCAGCCCUUCUCAAGUAGUUUCGGUAUAGAAAACUUUGUGGUUAGACCGCGCGAUAGUCAUGGGGCAAUACGCCACUCUUUCAGUGUUCUUCCACGAUGAAAGGGAUUGUCUCGCGGGGAUGCGGAUACCCCGUGGAUGGCACGCGGUAGAUGCUGCGAAACCGGCCGGAAGACUUUAACGCUUCGAUCGAGCGUCGAACGAUGCCGGUCAUCGUUCGAGAUCGUCGAUGAUUAUGAAAUCUUUUUUUUUUUGGUGUCAGGAUGUCAUUAAUUCGCGGAUUGAAAGCCGCAAGAGUGUGUAAUUUCCUAUGGUCCAUGAAUCAGUAUAAUUAUCAACGAAAUCGAGUUGUUUAGAUGAUAUUCGAAGCAAGAUUAAAUUUGUUAUUUUAAUAAGUUACUGGUAAUUGCAACAAAUAAGACCAUUAUUAGUCUAUAAAAGUCAUUAUCAGCUUUGUACCAAUUUAUUGACCAAUCAAAGCCACUUUUUUUUCAAAAUUAGUGAAACUAUAUUUCACAAGUCGUGCGUACGUGCCGGUCUCGUGUUGCUUUUGGCUCUUGGCCAAUAAACGAAGGAAUGUGCGAAUUCGAGAAAAGCAAUUGGAAAAGACAGGGAUGGAUUAGAGAGUGAAAAUGGUGUUUCAUCAGUUAGAGAAAAGAAGAAAGCGCGAUCUGUGGCUAAUAUAUCAUGUGACGUGAUUAUUUUGUGAUUGUGUGUAGCGAGAGGCGAUUUAAUAUCGGGCGUUAUCACGUCGGCUGAGGGAAAAGCGAAUUCUUCAGCUGUUCGUGUUGUGAGGACGACGAGUCCUUGGGCCCUUUAGCCACGUUCUGAAAACGAGCGAAAGUGCAGUGUGCAAUACUCCUUCGAACGCCGUCGCCGACUGCACCUGCAGGGGUGCAUUGAUCCGACGGUGAGAAAAGUCUCACCAUCCCAGACGUGAAAGUUUGCCACAGCCGCGUCGUUGGUUGGUGAGUUGGCGAAAAAUAUGUCUCCAGUAACAAAAGCGCGUUUAGCAGCGCGACUUAUCUCUAACAGAGCCUCGGCCAUUACCACGCCAAUUUCCAGAUAUUUUUAAGGGGAUCAAUAGUGGACUGUUUGCGGUUCUUAUGCAUCUGGCACACGCGCGCCGACCAACAUGCAAGCGCCAUGGGCAUUUUUUUUCACUUUUCUGCCUCUUUGAAGCGUUUGAUCCUUUGAAGCACGCCUCUUUAAUUGCUUAGUCUAUGAAAAAUAUGUUACUACCAUGUCCAUUAGAAGUCGCGUGUAUUUGAACUCUCAGAGGUUGUGAUUAGCCAUAGAUCUUUACUUUUUUCUCUUUUAUAGUAUGGAAUAAUUUUUCACUGAAAAAUUUUGCCAUUAUUGAUCGAAUUUUCUUUUGUUCAGAAAUGUGUAUCAAGAUCCUUUCAGACUAAUUUUCUAAGCUCGUUCUAAAAUAUUUAACAUUCAUUAUGUAUACGCGCAUAAUCAGCAUUAGGCUCUUUCAUUUGUAUCUGCGUAAUGUAAUUAUGAUUACAAGCAAUUUGCAAAGUAAUCUCGGAAAUCGUCGCAUGAAUCUUUUUUGCAUCGAAUGGCUGGCGCGUGAUGUUUCUUGAGAGGGUGGAAGUUCCUACGUUUUUCCCUCCGUUGCAACCGUUUUUUCCGGCUUAGCCUCGUUCUUCCGCGAUAGCACCUUUAUUAAUAGCGCGUCGCAACAGAAACUAAGUAUCUCCUGUCGUUGAAUAAAUAUUCAUUUUUCGCACUUUCCACAGCCUUCUAACAAGUGGCUGAUAAACCUGCUUAGUUAUUGCUCGAAUUAUUUUCAAGAAAACUUAUUUACUAAGUAUUAUACCUUUCGGUAAUAACAGCUUUACAUUAAAAAUUACACUUAAAAAUGAAAAAUCGAAAAUUGCUUUAGAAUAUUAUACUUAAUAUUUAUUUGUUAAACACAAUUACCGAAAAUAUUUAUUAAUCAGAUCGUUUUAUCAUAAACGCUGUGUAGUAGAAUAAGUUUUAACAAACAUGUGUAAUUAUGAGGCUUUGCUAGAAAGUAAUUCUAAGUUUUCCCUCGUUCUUUCGCAAUUCUCUCUUUAGUAUUAAAAUGAUGGGAAAAAUUUUCUUGUGUGAAUAAAGAAAAAAAA